UGGAGACUAUAGAUUACAUGAUGACACC
rnacentral:piRNA from 1 species